GUCCACACCACACUCAACAACAUCCACUCUCCAACACUAUCACUCGACAUGCACACCCUGCCUGCUGUCGUGGAGCUGACGAGAAAGGCCAUUGGCACGACUUGGCAGCUGCAGACUGUUCUUUCGGCACUUCCGGCUUCUUCAUCAGCCUGCUCGAGUGCGAUAGCAGCUCGUGCAGGACUGAUUUUCGGACUCUUUCGGUUCUUCAUAUCGGCCUGCUCGAUUGCCUUAGCAACUCCUGCAGAACUGAUUUUCGGCCUUGUUGGUUUCAGUCUCAUCUUUCGGCUCAUUUCAAUAUAUCUACUUUUUGUUCA